rnacentral:rRNA from 1 species
UGCUUAACACAUGCAAGUCGAACGGAUCAGAGGGGCUUGCUUCUCUGGUUAGUGGCGAACGGGUGAGUAACACGUGAGUAACCUGCCCUUCACUCUGGGAUAACGUCGGGAAACCGGUGCUAAUACUGGAUACGACCUACUCGGGCAUCCGAUGUGGGUGGAAAGAUUUAUUGGUAGGGGAUGGACUCGCGGCCUAUCAGCUUGUUGGUGAGGUAAUGGCUUACCAAGGCGACGACGGGUAGCCGGCCUGAGAGGGCGAUCGGCCACACUGGGACUGAGACACGGCCCAGACUCCUACGGGAGGCAGCAGUGGGGAAUAUUGCACAAUGGGCGAAAGCCUGAUGCAGCGACGCCGCGUGAGGGAUGAAGGCCUUCGGGUUGUAAACCUCUUUCAGCAGGGAAGAAGCAGCUGGGUUUUCUCAGGUGUGACGGUACCUGCAGAAGAAGCACCGGCUAACUACGUGCCAGCAGCCGCGGUAAUACGUAGGGUGCAAGCGUUGUCCGGAAUUAUUGGGCGUAAAGAGCUUGUAGGUGGUUUGUCGCGUCUGUUGUGAAAUUUCGGGGCUCAACCCCGAACUUGCAGUGGAUACGGGCAGACUAGAGUGUGGUAGGGGAGACUGGAAUUCCUGGUGUAGCGGUGAAAUGCGCAGAUAUCAGGAGGAACACCGAUGGCGAAGGCAGGUCUCUGGGCCAUUACUGACACUGAGAAGCGAAAGCAUG